UAACACGUGGGGAACCUGCCCCAUAGUCUGGGAUACCACUUGGAAACAGGUGCUAAUACCGGAUAAGAAAGCGGAUCGCAUGAUCAGCUUUUAAAAGGCGGCGUAAGCUGUCGCUAUGGGAUGGCCCCGCGGUGCAUUAGCUAGUUGGUAAGGUAAAGGCUUACCAAGGCGAUGAUGCAUAGCCGAGUUGAAAGACUGAUCGGCCACAUUGGGACUGAGACACGGCCCAAACUCCUACGGGAGGCAGCAGCG
rnacentral:rRNA from 1 species